UACGGAGGGUGCAAGCGUUAAUCGGAAUUACUGGGCGUAAAGCGUGCGUAGGUGGUUGAUUAAGUUAUCUGUGAAAUACCUGGGCUUAACCUGGGCAGGUCAGAUGAUACUGAUUGACUCGAGUAUGGGAGAGGGUAGUGGAAUUUCCGGUGUAGCGGUGAAAUGCGUAGAGAUCGGAAGGAACACCAGUGGCGAAGGCGGCUACCUGGCCUAAUACUGACACUGAGGCACGAAAGCGUGGGGAGCAAACAGG
rnacentral:rRNA from 1 species